rnacentral:rRNA from 1 species
GAUGAACGCUGGCGGCGUGCUUAACACAUGCAAGUCGAACGGUGAACACGGAGCUUGCUCUGUGGGAUCAGUGGCGAACGGGUGAGUAACACGUGAGCAACCUGCCCCUGACUCUGGGAUAAGCGCUGAAACGGCGUCUAAUACUGGAUAUGUGACGUGACCGCAUGGUCUGCGUUUGGAAAGAUUUUUCGGUUGGGGAUGGGCUCGCGGCCUAUCAGCUUGUUGGUGAGGUAAUGGCUCACCAAGGCGUCGACGGGUAGCCGGCCUGAGAGGGUGACCGGCCACACUGGGAUUGAGACACGGCCCAGACUCCUACGGGAGGCAGCAGUGGGGAAUAUUGCACAAUGGGCGAAAGCCUGAUGCAGCAACGCCGCGUGAGGGAUGACGGCCUUCGGGUUGUAAACCUGUUUUAGCAGGGAAGAAGCGAAAGUGACGGUACCUGCAGAAAAAGCGCCGGCUAACUACGUG